AGUAGCGCACUGGUGAGUAACACGUGGGAACGUACCUUUUGGUGGGGAACAACAGUUGGAAACGACUGCUAAUACCGCAUAAGCCCUGAGGGGGAAAGAUUUAUCGCCGAAAGAACGGCCCGCGGAAGAUUAGGUAGUUGGUGGGGUAACGGCCUACCAAGCCGACGAUCUAUAGCUGGUCUGAGAGGACGAUCAGCCACAUUGGAACUGAGACACGGUCCAAACUCCUACGGGAGGCAGCAGUGAGGAAUAUUGGGCAAUGGAGGCAACUCUGACCCAGCCAUGCCGCGUGAGUGAAGAAGGUUUUCGGAUUGUAAAGCUCUUUCGGGUGUGACGAUGAUGACGGUAGCACCUAAAGAAGCCCCGGCUAACUUCGUGCCAGCAGCCGCGGUAAUACGAAGGGGGCAAGCGUUGUUCGGAAUUACUGGGCGUAAAGGGAGUGUAGGCGGUUAUGUAAGAUAGUGGUGAAAUCCCAGAGCUUAACUUUGGAAUUGCCAUUAUGACUAUGUGGCUAGAAUUACAGAGAGGAUAGUGGAAUACCCAGUGUAGAGGUGAAAUUCGUAGAUAUUGGGUAGAACACCAGUGGCGAAG
rnacentral:rRNA from 1 species